AUUGGCGUCCGUUGCACAUCAUAACAGGCUUCUGCGCUAGGCGGUGUGAAUAUGGGUUUAUUAUAAGCAAUAACAACCAGCGCACUUCCAUCUUGUACUAAAUAGAAACUCGCUAACUAAGAGUCGUGAAGACUCAACGAAGCAACCUGAAUUUGGAAAUGUUGUGCUGACUCAUAUUCAGUGCCAUAUCUUACAUCGGAGAUAGGCUGUCUGCUUGUUGCACUUCAUCUGCGAAGGCGCACCUUGCAAGUUCAAAUGAAAAGCCCAGUCAGCAUGUGUCGUGCGUGUCAGGUGCAGUUACAGCAUGCCCCCCUUCCUCAGGUGAAGCUGGCACCCUUUCUUAAAGGGCCAUCUCUGACCUUCUAAAUGGAGGUGGCACCAUACCAUACCACCCUGCCUGGCAUCCCUCUGCACUGUUUAACAAUGAUGGCGUGUCUAUAAACUCCAAUGCUUUGGAGGUGGGCAUGCCUGAUGUCCCAAACAGGUCUGAGGUGAUAUGCACGAAUAAAAUAACUUUGAAAACAA